rnacentral:lncRNA from 1 species
AAUGUACAAUCCUAACUGACAGGAUAUCGAAGAACCAACGUACAACCCCCACUAGUAGGGUAUCGAAGUGCCAACGUACAAUCCCCACUAGUAGGGUAUCGAAAUGACAACAUACAACCCCCACUGGUAGGGUAUCGAAAUAUAGUUUGGCUGCGAGUCCAAAUCCAUUUCACUUGAAAACUCUUUUUCUCAAAAUAUGUUCGGUGUUUCAAAUCGUAAGAUGCGAUAUUGAAAUCAAUCAAACAUAAUCCAUCUUAAAACCCAUAUGUUCAACCAAGAAUCAUACAAUAUUUUAGAAAAGACAUAUAUAAUAAUAAAACAACAUGCAGCAAAUUCAUAAAUAAAAAAUAAUUUAAUUUAAAAAAUAUUUAUAAUUU